rnacentral:lncRNA from 1 species
UUUUUUUCAAUACAAAAUAGGAAAUACAAUAACAAAAGACUCGACAUUACUGUACAAAAUUAGAAGGUAAAAGACGACAUAAAAAUAAAAACAUAUUCAAAACAUAAAAAGAAAAAUCUACUUAAGCAACUCCUGAAUGAGCGAUCCUAACUGGAUGGUCCUAGGGCGUCUGUCAUGAUCAAACUCCGAUACAUCUGCAUGAGAAAAUUAAGACCAAAUAAAGUUAAAGACCUAGAAUGCUAUGUGAGACAAUAACCCUUCCUGUUGGACACAUUCAAGACAUGAUUGUGACUAUUUUUCUAAAAAUUAACCUAUGUAGCUAAAGGUGGCUAAAAAUGCAAGAUUUGACUAAGACCCCGCGAAGCCAAGAACCUAAACUCACUAGGAAGACCAGACCCUAUGUGGGUUGCCUACGUAUCACGCCUUGAAAGACGAGAAUCAGGUAUGCGUAGUUCGGGCAGAUUGGUUACGGACAUUAGAAAAAAUAACUAAUUUAGAGAAUAUAUAUUUUUUGUCUUUUUUUUUUUGAAAAAUGAUGAAACAUGUAAACUCUUUUUGGUCUUUUCUUGAAAAAGUGAGAAAGAAAAUUAUAAUUAGGCCCUAUUUUCUUUAUAUUCACACCUCACCCUCUUUUCUUUCUAAUUUACCCUCAACCAACAUUGGUCCGCCAAAUGACCCGUUUACCCUUGAAGAUUGCAACAUGUAGCACAUAGAAUGCAUCAGGUUGGUCUUUUAUUUUUAGGUACAUCUGUCCUAGACGGACCCAACCCCGGUGUUGAGUCCUCAAAGUCAAAUACACGUGAUGCAAGUAAAUGUUCCUACUAGGGAUCCGACAUGAGGUUAUGCUAUUCUAAGUUUAAACCUGAGGUUGUGUUCUUGACCUGGCUUACCCGAGCAGACAACUCGAGCCGAAGAGGGGGCAACGUACCGGGAGCACUAAAGUAUACCCGGCCUUGCUGUUGGCCCAGCCUUGUUCUAUUUGGUAUAACUUCUACAGAAAAAGUGGGCCACGCGAACGUGUGCACCAUUUUUAGAAGACUCAGAGGGGUGGUGUAAGAAGACAGUUAUAUACAAUUCAAAUAAUAUCAAAGCGUUAAAUAAGAGGUAAUUAACACAUUAGGCCCACAAAUACAGUAAUAUCAACAAACAAUAAAGCCAAGCAUAAAUGAUAUUAACAACCUCGAAUUCUUGAACCCUGAACCAGAAGUUGGGGGUUCUUGUCCCCAGCAGAGUCGCAGAGCUGUCACACCUCCUUUUUUACUACCCUAAAAGGGUAUAUAUGGGAGUUUUUCCAGUUUAUGUGACAAUCGAAACAGGAUUAUUAUUUAAAAUCAGAGUCGCCACUUGGGAUAAUUUAUGGUGUCCCAACUCAUCGGUUUAAAAUACCGAAUCGAGGAAGUUGACUCUUAUUUAUGGUCUGCGAACAAAGAAAUCCGGGUAAGCAAUUCUAUUAACCCGGGAGAAGAUGUUAGGCAUUCUCGAGUUCCGUGGUUCUAGCAAGGUCGUUUUGAUCAUACUUGGCUUAAUCAAAUUGUCUAAUUAUUCAUUUUAGAACCUAUGCGUAUUUGCCUUUUUUAAUUAAGCAACUAUCUUGAAACGGGUCACACGCACGUGUACCCAUUUGUUUGGCGCGUCAAAAAUCAUGUCAUGCGAACGUGUCCACGAUCAAUAACGCUUUGUUAUUAUUACGAUUGUUUUUGGCCAAAGUUGCGCGAACGCAUACCUCAAUUUAUUUUCAAAAGAAUCGUAAUCAUGUCACGCGAACGUGUACACAAUUGCAAUAGUUUGAUUAAACAACAACAAAAACUAUAGUUCGAUUAUGAGAACUAGAAAAUCAAGCUUAUCAACCUUAUUCCAAAUUAAUGAUACUACGACGUAUUUAAAAAUGAAAGAAGCUGCUUUUUUGAAAAAGUUCAUUCCAAUCUUCUUUUGUUAGUUUAUUUACUCAAAAUGGGUAAACUAAGAUUGGCAACGAUGCAAUAAACUUAUAUUUACAAUCUCAGGAUCAAAUGCAAUAUACUUACUUUUACAGUGAUCCACCAACAGGCAAUACAAAAUAAUCACUUUUAGAAACCAAAAAAAUAUAACUUGUAACUAUAAUAGGAAUAGAGAUGGACCUUAAAAGGAGUUUUACUUCUGAUCUUUACAGUAGGUGAGUCCAAGAACAAAUAAGCAACCAGUACAGGAUCACGAUGAAGCGUAAUCUCGUCGGACGACACUCUAACCUCGACGAAACUGAACAGAGCUAGCGACCUACAAAUGGGCUUUAACGAGACUCGAUCUCAACUGAAGCAUUACAUUAAAGGGAAUGACGAACUUGAAACUCAGUCGACAACCUCAAACGAACUCUCCACGAGCUUUAAACGAACUCCAUCGACGAAACAAAAUUCCGUCGUCGGUUUUUGGCCAUUUCUAGUGGUGAAGGAGCAGCAGCCGGUCUGAUGUGAGGUGAAGAAGAAGGAACAGUGACGAGGGGUGUGUUGGUGAAGGUUUUAUUGCUGGUGUGAGGUCAGAUCGUUCGACUGUUGCUUCUCCUUUAAUCUCUGUGUGUUUUUGUUAAUGAAGAUGGUGAAGAAGCAGAACGGAUGGGAGGGCAUGACUCUUGGCUGAAGAGAGAUUCCUUUGGUCUCUAGUGUUGAAACGGCUGAUAUGGAGAUGGAGUUUUGCUAGGGUUUUGUUUGUGAAGAAGGAGAUGAACUGAUAGGGGUGUCUCGUUUUGUAUAUUGCGGCGGAUCUCUUAGGCGUUAGGAAAUUAGCUCCUCAUUUUGUUUGUCCAAAAUGGAUGUCCGCCCCUAGAGUGUAAAGGUUUAAGUUAGUUUUCUAGGGU